GACAGAGGGUGCAAACGUUGUUCGGAAUUACUGGGCGUAAAGCGUGUGUAGGCGGUCACGUAAGUCGGGGGUGAAAUCCCGGGGCUCAACCCCGGAACUGCCUUCGAUACUGGGUAUCUUGAGUUCGGAAGAGGUGAGUGGAAUUGCGAGUGUAGAGGUGAAAUUCGUAGAUAUUCGCAGGAACACCAGUGGCGAAGGCGGCUCACUGGUCCGAUACUGACGCUGAGGUGCGAAAGCGUGGGGAGCAAACAGGG
rnacentral:rRNA from 1 species